CCUACGGGUGGCAGCAGUGAGGAAUAUUGGUCAAUGGGCGGAAGCCUGAACCAGCCAAGUCGCGUGAGGGAUUAAGGCCCUGCGGGUCGUAAACCUCUUUUGCCGGGGAGCAGAGGUCCGGACGUGUCCGGGCCGGGAGAGAACCCGGAGAAAAAGCAGCGGCUCACUCCGGGCCAGCAGCCGCGGUAAUACGAAGGAUGCGAGCGUUAGCCGGAUUUAGUGGGUUUAAAGGGUGCGCAGGCGGGCAUUUAAGCCGGCGGUCACAUGUCGGGGCUCAACCCCGGCCUGCCGUCGGAACUGGGUGCCUUGAGUGGGCGAGCAGUAUGCGGAAUGCGUGGUGUAGCGGUGA
rnacentral:rRNA from 1 species